CCGAGCCCUAGGUUUUUCCGUCGCCGAGUCCUCCCUCUCCUCUCUCACGCGACGCUGACACUACCGAGCUCUCCCUUCCUUCGCAAAGCCGUCAUCGCCUUGGCUUGAGGACAGAUCGACAGCGCCGUUGAUCGAGGGAGUGCGUAGGUUCCCUGUGCUCCGAUUUCCCUUGGAUCGUCGCCGGCGUCUGAGGUAUAUUCGUGCCCUAAUUUUUGUUCUGGUGCCGUGGGAUCAAGCUAGAGCCAUCUGAUCGCCGGCCAUCCCUUCGACACUGUCAAGUUUUGCUCCUUUUCCCUGUUUCCAUUGGAUCUAUGAGGUGCUGGGUGAUUCUUACAAGGAGCCGUCUAUUUGAUCCUGGAUGUUUGUACUAUUAACAGGGAAGCAUUCAAAUUGUUUGAUUGGACGUGUUUAUGCCCUUUUUGCUUGAUGAUCUGAACUAAUUGACUGAUUUGAGCAACAGAUGAGGCUGUUGACUAGUUAGGAUGAAGGCCAUCAUCAUUUCUGGCCUGAGUGGAGCAAUGUGUUUGCCUUUGAUAAACUUUGUACAAUCUUUGCUCCAGGAAUAUGCGUGACUUGACAGUGUAUUUUUUUAUAAAGUUGUCGAAGUCAUAUGGAUAUUCUGUUUCUUUGAUUUUGUUGUUUGCAUAUGUAAGGAAAUAGUUUCCUUCAACAUGUGGAGCAUCGUAAAGAUUGAGCUGUGUAGCAAAAUUAUUGAAGAAGAUAGACACUCUUAACAUUAUCGUUGUGUUUGAAAAACUUGCAGCAUCAUCUUGUGCGGUAGAAACCUGUGCAACUAAGUGCACCAGAUCCCAUGUGAUUUAAACAUGGGGAAUAGUUCUUUGACAGAAAGUGACACUGAACGCUCAAUCAUUGGGAAUUAAUAGGUUGUGUGAGUUCUUAUAUGUUUCCCGUUUCACAUUAGUUUCAUUCUAUUAAUGAAGGACCAACCAUUUUCUGAAAUUGAUGGAAGUGGAAUUUUAGUUCAAAAAAAUCUAUUCAUGUUUUUGAGAUGAGUUUGCCUUAAGUUAUAGUAAAGCAUCUAAUUGGUGCUCUGUAAUUUUCAAUAAUAACUGAAGAGCUUAGAAGACAUUCAUACAUAGAAUGAAUUACAUGAGGUCUAUUUAUAAUAUCCAUUACAAUAAUUUUUCUGUAUGAGGUUGUUCAAAAUCAUGCAUUGGAAAGAGGUAUACUACAAUAAUUUUUCUAUGAGUUAGUUGCACUCUUUUGUUAUGGUGCCCUAAGAGCUCCCACCUCCCUGCACCAGCCAGUGGGGACGCCACUUAAGACCGAGCAAUCAAAGUCAACCCCUGGCCACCGUGCCACUGCUAGGGACCUUUGGACGUCAUCGCAUUGUCAAAGAAGAAGAGUUAGGGUCAUUUGGAGGAUUGUCUAAUUUCUAAAACCGGUCGAGAUGGUGAAGUUCACAGCUGAAGAACUCCAUCGCAUCAUGGACAUGAAGCAUAACAUCCGCAACAUGUCUGUCAUUGCACAUGUCGAUCAUGGUAAAUCAACCCUCACUGAUUCUCUUGUUGCUGCUGCCGGAAUCAUCGCACAAGAAGUUGCUGGAGAUGUUAGGAUGACUGAUACUCACCAAGACGAGGCUGAACGUGGUAUUACAAUCAAAUCCACUGGGAUUUCCUUGUACUAUGAAAUGACAGAGGAAUCCCUAAAAAACUACAAGGGCGAAAGGAGUGGAAAUGAAUAUCUAAUCAACCUCAUAGAUUCACCUGGGCACGUUGACUUUACUUAUUUGGAAGAAAAGUCACUCAAAUUGACAAUUCUUAUUUGGAAGCUUACACUCAAAUUGACAACAAGUUAAAAUAUGUACUUGUAUGUUUUACACUACCAAUCCCAUUACUUGUGUUUGCAUA